rnacentral:lncRNA from 1 species
CCCUAGUCUAAUAGCGAGUUCAGCGAACACCGGUUUGCUACAGAUGCAAAAAUCUUAACGCAUGUGUGGGGAAAGCGGGCGUAAAAAAAAGUCACCAUUCAGAAAAAAAAAGAAAAAGAAAAAAUCUCCAGUGUUUCACAACAGAUCUCAUCCUGUUACCAUAGUUAUAGCUUUCUAUACAAGAAAGGUAUAGUGCUAUCGUGUGCCCUUACACAAAUGCAUGUACAGACAAAAACAGAGACUGCUAAAUAUUUGCGUGUUGUGCAGAACCAGUGCACAGGGAUACGGCUCCCUGUACGGGAAUACAGUUCGGAGACUCCUAAGGCAUUUUUCUCGUUUUACAAAUUAUGACGGCUCAGAGGGCUGGGUACAUGAUCUCAUCUGCCCGGUGCUCGAAGGAAGGAGAAGGAAAGGGACCAGUGCAGAUGCGUAAGAAGGAAAGAAAGAAGCACCUUCUGAUCAGGUUAUUUUGUGCUCAGAAUUGCACGGAAACUUCGCUCCAGCAGGCUUCCUGCAGCAUCGCAUCUUCAGCUAUGGCCUUAUUCAGAAAGAAGCCCAGACUUUGGACCAGGCCCCUGCGUCGUACAGACUUAGCAGGAGGGACCRACUUCUUGUGCGUGUGGCUUGUACAGCACAGAGCACCUGGCGCUUAA